rnacentral:rRNA from 1 species
GACGAACGCUGGCGGCGUGCCUAAUACAUGCAAGUAGAACGCACAGUUUAUACCGUAGCUUGCUACACCAUACACUGUGAGUUGCGAACGGGUGAGUAACGCGUAGGUAACCUGCCUGGUAGCGGGGGAUAACUAUUGGAAACGAUAGCUAAUACCGCAUAAUAUUGAUUAUUGCAUGAUAAUUGAUUGAAAGAUGCUAUUGCAUCACUACCAGAUGGACCUGCGUUGUAUUAGCUAGUAGGUGAGGUAACGGCUCACCUAGGCGACGAUACAUAGCCGACCUGAGAGGGUGAUCGGCCACACUGGGACUGAGACACGGCCCAGACUCCUACGGGAGGCAGCAGUAGGGAAUCUUCGGCAAUGGACGAAAGUCUGACCGAGCAACGCCGCGUGAGUGAGGAAGGUUUUCGGAUCGUAAAGCUCUGUUGUAAGAGAAGAGCGGGUGUGAGAGUGGAAAGUUCACACUGUGACGGUAUCUUACCAGAAAGGGACGGCUAACUACGUG